UUUGCUUUCUUUACAUUUUCUUUCUGCAAAUUUUGUAUUUUGUAUUGAAUUAUUAGGUACUGGUGAUCACAUGUAUCACUUUGCAUAGUUAAGGAUCUCAAUAUUUGAGUUACCUUUUAAUUCCUUACAAUCACUCUUACAGGAAGUGGAAUAUCUUGUUGUCUCUAGAAUAAAAAAAGCUGUAGCUGGAAAUAAAACAGUAGUUUGUAAAGCACACUGUUUUAGGAACAACCCUGCCAAAGUGGUUUGAGAUUCUGACAGUCUGUCAGCCUUCAAAUCUAGGAUAAAAAUAUAUUUGCUUAGUCAGUCCAAUAAGUAAAAUUUACAAUGAAUCUGCAUUCCUAUUUGUCCUUUGUCUUUUCUUUUUAAACUUGCUAUGUUAUUUUUAAUUUGUGUAAAACAAAACAGACCAUUUUUUAUUUUGUUCAAUUAUAAUCUGGUACUGACACCAAGAUUUUUGUCUCCAGGUUUAUGGCCUGGAAAUAGUUAAAGCUGCUUUGUGACAAUACUAAUUGUAAAAUGCACAAAAUAAUUCAAAUUUGAUUGCUUGAUUAAAACAGUUAUUUAGUAUUGUGAGUGAUUACUGUAGAUACAGAAUUUAAACUUGCUAAAGCUAUCCUGCUUUUUUGUCAUUUUUAUAGAAACACAUAACUAUUCAAUUGGGAGUGUCAGUACCACUGCUGACUCAAUGCAACAGAUGUUGCACCUUGUUCCAUUGUCCUUUUUGUAGUGGUAAUGUUUUUAAGCCCUCCAAACUGGAAAAAUUAAAAAAGCAUUUGAAGAGUCAUUUCAAGAAGGCAGUUCUCCAUGAAGUAACAUGACAAAACGAAUAUCUUCAGGCACAUGGAUACUAAUUAAAAACAAGAAUCUUCCACAGCAGUUGGUUGGGUCAGUGGAUUGUGGAGUAUUCAUGUUGAUGGACAAAGGCGUUCACUAAAGGGGCACUGGAGAGUGUGAAUGAGACCCAGAGCAGUGAGGAGGAACCACUAAUAAAAAGGGACCUCCACACUGCAGUAAAAUGGUUGCCCAACAU